AACUCCCUGCUACACGGCACCCACGAAAUUCCCAACCGCCUCCACUCUCAAACAACAGACUCGCUGCUCCCUCUAAUUUUCAACACAAAAUCCCAGAAAAUGCUCAAAAAUUUCCCAGAUAUUCUCAUUGAAUUAUCUACUCAAUUUUAAUUCUCUCAUUCUUUCAAGUACAAAUGGAAAUCUGGAGAAGCCUGUAAUUGCAAGCGCAGUAAUGGAGCCAUCGCAGUGCUAUAACAGAGCUAUCGCCGCCCCAUAACAGAGCCAUCGCUUCAAAUUUCGCCGUUUUCUCCUUAUAUAUGAACGUCCAACACUCAACAAAUCCUACAUCUUUCCAAAUGGUAACUUCAUGGACA